UACGUAGGGGGCAAGCGUUGUCCGGAAUCAUUGGGCGUAAAGCGCGUGUAGGCGGUCCGGUAAGUCCGCUGUAAAAGUCGGGGGCUCAACCCUCGGAUGCCGGUGGAUACUGUCGGGCUUGAGUACGGAAGAGGCGAGUAGAAUUCCUGGUGUAGCGGUGAAAUGCGCAGAUAUCAGGAGGAACACCAAUGGCGAAGGCAGCUCGCUGGGACGUGACUGACGCUGAGACGCGAAAGCGUGGGGAGCAAACAGG
rnacentral:rRNA from 1 species